AUUGAACGCUGGCGGCAGGCCUAACACAUGCAAGUCGAGCGAGCGGCGGACGGGUGAGUAAUGUAUGGGGACUGCCCGAUAGAGGGGGAUAACAACUGGAAACGGUGGCUAAUACGGCAUACAGUCGGCUAACGCUAACGGGAUUAGCUAGUGGGUAAGGUAAUGGCUUACCUAGUCGACGAUCCCUAGCUGGUCUGAGAGGAUGAUCAGCCACACUGGGACUGAGACACGGCCCAGACUCCUACGGAGGCAGCAGUGGGGAAUAUUGCACAAUGGGCGCAAGCCUGAUGCAGCCAUGCCGCGUGUAUGAAGAAGGCCCUAGGGUUGUAAAGUACUUUCAGUCGGGAGGCGUUACCGACAGAAGAAGCACCGGCUAACUCCGUGCCAGCAGCCGCGGUAAUAC
rnacentral:rRNA from 1 species